rnacentral:rRNA from 1 species
AGCGAACGCUGGCGGCAGGCCUAACACAUGCAAGUCGAACGAACCCUUCGGGGUUAGUGGCGGACGGGUGAGUAACACGUGGGAACGUGCCUUUAGGUUCGGAAUAACUCAGGGAAACUUGUGCUAAUACCGAAUGUGCCCUACGGGGGAAAGAUUUAUCGCCAUUGGAGCGGCCCGCGUUGGAUUAGGUAGUUGGUGAGGUAAAGGCUCACCAAGCCUACGAUCCAUAGUUGGUCUGAGAGGAUGAUCAGCCACACUGGGACUGAGACACGGCCCAGACUCCUACGGGAGGGAGCAGGAGGGAAUCUUGCGCAAUGGGCGAAAGCCUGACGCAGCCAUGCCGCGUGAAUGAUGAAGGUCUUAGGAUUGUAAAAUUCUUUCACCGGGGAAGAUAAUGACGGUACCCGGAGAAGAAGCCCCGGCUAACUUCGUGCCAGCCGCCGCAGUAAAAC